GCCAUCAGCACCCUAUAAUAGGAGGGAGGAAGCGGGUGAGUGAGGGGCAGGCCAAAACCCUGGAGCUCUUCCAGAAGAGCGGGAGACUCUGUGAGUAUCUGCAUGUGUGUCCACCCUGGUCUGGACAUGAUGGUUCUAUUAGUAUGGAGGUGGGAAAGGAGAGGAGAGGAGCAUCCAUUUCCCUCCCCGACAAGCUCCAAUGCCCGAGGAUGCUGGAUGUGGGACUGGCCUGAGUGGAGGGACCCAGGAGGAUGGACAGAGAUACUCACAGGAGGCCCAGCAAAUCCCGCUGGUCCGGGGGGCCCAGUCUCUCCACGUUCACCCUGUGAGAGAAGGGGGCAUGGCGAGAGGUCAGGCCCCACUGCCUGACCUGCUUCUCCUCCCCUCCAAGAGCCCCUUGGGCCCUGCCCAGCCUCCUGUUCCCCAGAGACGGGCAUCUGAAAGCAGCCUUAGUCCUGAACGCAGGCAGAGGCUCUGUUAACCCAAAAGCCCUCACCCUGAGCACAUUGAUGGGAGUGACGUGCCUUCCCCCUUCCCUUCCCAUCUCUCGUCCCACCCUAGACCCAGUGGGCAGGGAGGGAACGAGUGCCUGGCAGCACCCAGGCCCACCAGGCAGCAUGACGGCCCGCACUGGCUCCCUGGCUCUCUGGUUCCCAGGGGCCUCGGGCAGAGCCAGGCUCAGAGGGGCAGACACUGACCGGAGCGCCACGAGCACCAGCACUUCCUGCAGGACCAGGAGGUCCAACUUCUCCCUGAGGGCGGGAAAGGGAGGAAGAGCCAGGGCCCCGGCGGACGGUGACAGUGGUGAGUGAGGACAAGACAGAACCGCCUUUGGCAGGAGAUAAGAAGAAGGCGUGACAGGGAGGCAAGGCGUGGAGAGGAAAGGAGCCGGGACUCACCUUCUCACCGUUAGCACCAGCUGGGCCUGGGGGGCCAAUGGGACCUGUCAGGCCCUAUGGGGAGAGCAGGUAGAGGUGCCACGAGGGAACGGAAGGGAUCACAAGGGGCAGGAAUGUGGCAAAGCCACAGCUUUGGUGAGAGGCUGGAACCCCAGUACUUACCCUGUCGCCUUUGGGCCCAGCGAUACCAGCUGCUCCCCUCUCGCCAGGCAUUCCCUGAAGACCUGGAGGGCCCUGAGCCCCAGGGGGGCCUGCUGGGCCAGAUGCACCCUGCAGGGGGAGUGGGACUCCCAGGCUGCCAAGAAGACCCCUACAGGAUGCAGCCUCACUUACUUUGGGACCAUCAGUGCCAGGAGUGCCGGGGAGGCCACGGGGACCCUGGAGGCCCUGGGCACCGGGAGAGCCACGUUCACCUGGGAAACCUCGUUCACCCUGCAGCAGAGACACCAAGAAGUGAUCAACCAACAGCAGUGGGGGAGAAGGUCCAGGGAGAAGCAGGGAGGUGGGGAAAGGAGCAGGAGCCUAGGACCCAGGGCAGGCCCAAGAAGGCUGCCCACAGUGGCCAACAGGACACUCACCCUGGGACCCACGAGGCCAGGGGCUCCAGCUUCACCGGGAACACCCUGGAAAACAAAGAAAGAUGUGUGAGAGUGAAGGCUUCAUGUCACAGACCCCUGAACAAUCCUCCACAGCGGGGCUGAAUAUCACUCCUCCCAUGGGGGAUUGUGUCAUCUGUGGAGGCUGGGACAUGGGUCCAGGACAUUCCCAGGCCUCACAGGGAUCCUCAUGCCCUCUUGCCCUUGCCUCCUAGGCAUCAGAAAAGACCUUCCCAUCUAAACAGGUCCAAAGAGCCCCAUACUCACCUGGUCACCUGGUUUUCCACCUUCACCUGGGGGACCAGGAGGGCCAGGAAGUCCCUAGAAGCCGAAGUGACAAGUGUUAGCAAAGGAGUGAGUUUGCUGCCCUGGCCUCCAGGGAGGCACAGUAUAGGGCAGACCCAAAGGAAGGAGGCAGCAGCAGUGACAGCCAGGGGUGCAGGGAAGGCUCGAUGCCUGGCACCCUGCAAGAGGUGUGGGCCCUCCACCGGUAGUGCCUGCUGCUGUCCCAGGGAGCCCUGGGUAUGGCAAAGGACUGGACAGAGAGCCCGGUCCAGCCACCUACCUGGAAGCCAGAUGGCCCAGGAGCACCCUGCUCGCCUCGUUCACCAGCAGGUCCCUGCAGUGGAAAAGAAAAGGUGAGCUAAGCCAGUGUUCCAGAGACCCUGAGAGCCACAGCUAGUAGGGCCCAGGGGAGGUCAGCAGGGUGGCCAGGACAGGCGUCUUCCUGCACUGCUCAGACAGUGCGUGCAUGCCUCCCUGCUGCAUUCCCAUCAGCCACCCACACUCCUCUCCACCAAUGUGGGUCCACACAGCCUCCUGGGACACCCUGCCUCAGCUCAGAGUGAGUCUGGUGUACCAGCUCAGCUCACAUUCACGUCUGUCAGCUCCAUUAAUGGAUGGGCUCUCCCACCCCCACCCCUCCCAGCCCCUGCCCCCAUGGCCACCUGGGGAGGCUGGGCAGGUACUUACAGCAGGGCCAGGGGGUCCUGCAGCACCUGUCUCACCAUCUUUGCCAGGAAGACCCUAGACGGAAGAGAAAAAGAAAAUGCAAUGACACGCUUUUCUUCCUGCUUGCAGUCCCCCUAGGAUUGGGCAAAGGGAGAUCCCCCCACCUCCUAGCAGCCCUCAGAGGAUAGACUUACAGAAGGGCCAACUUUGCCUUGAGGACCAG